rnacentral:rRNA from 1 species
UACGAGGGGGGCAAGCGUUGUUCGGAAUUAUUGGGCGUAAAGGGCGCGUAGGCGGUACGGUAAGUCACCUGUGAAAUCUCUGGGCUCAACUCAGAGUCUGCAGGCGAAACUGCCGUGCUGGAGUAUGGGAGAGGUGCGUGGAAUUCCCGGUGUAGCGGUGAAAUGCGUAGAUAUCAGGAGGAACACCGGUGGCGAAGGCGGGUCUCUGGGCCGUAACUGACGCUGAGGAGCGAAAGCGUGGGGAGCGAACAGG